UGUUAGCAACCCUCUUCCUGCUUCUGCAUGCCAGAAUCACCCCAUUUUAACAAUUCCCAGACUAUUAGGAUGUCAAGGAAUGAAAACAAAUAAGAUAUUGCAUCCAGAAUACAGAACUAAAGAGGCUCGACCUACAUACGCGAAAAUGAUAAUUCUUCACCUUGAGGUGAAAGAUUUUAUUAAAAAUUUACAUACCAGAAGCUUAGUCAACAUGUAAAGGAGCGAGAAUGGUGUAGCCUUUUGGACCAAAUCAGAGAGAAAGAACUAUGAAUGGUGUUGCCUACCAAAGGUUCCCCACACAAAUCGUCCCAAUUUUUCGCGCUACUUAAGGAUCGGGACAACCUGCCCAAGGGACAGGCCAACCUGGUGGCCACAUAGCCAGCAGCAUGGGCGAGGGAGCCAAGCGCGCUAGCAAAAGUCCACAGGCCUGCCAGCGCCCCGAAACGAGGUUACAUGGGCCGAACCCCUCCAGCGCCUGCGAGAGCCUUGCAGCACGCUCCAGCGCGCCACAGCGCCUUCCAAAAGAUUCCAGCGCCUACCAGACUCGCCUAGCACGCUCCAACACCCACAGGAAGGGCCUAGUGUGCGCCAGCGCGCCCCAGCAGACACCAGAGGCUUCCAAAAUGCUCCAUCAUCAGCCAACCACCGCCAGAAGACUCUAGAAGCCUCCAACACAUUUCCAGCCACAACCCCAAGCAAGUGGCUCAACUAUAAAUAAGUGAUUAGGGCAUUCAUUUGGGACAUGUAUGAGUGUAUAGACAAACCCUUCACAUAGCAACCUUUGUACAGCAACUUGGUACAUCUUGUAAAGCUUUGUAUAGCUUCUUUUUCCCAAAGUAAUACAAGUACUUAGUUAAUUCUGCCCACACUUUGUCUCAUUACCAUCCUUCACAUUUCCAUUGCUAAGUUUCUUACCUUGGGCGUAUUUUGUCACCCUUGUUAGUCUAUAUCUGCUAGACUAACUUAGUGGAAAGGCUUACUAGUAUUCAUCAAGGGGGAGAAAUACUAGUGCCGCACGGUGGUUUCAUCGGGCCAAUUCAUUACCAUCGUGACAGUUGGUAUCAGAGCCAAGGUUGAGGUUAACUUCUUUGAGCAUUCAUCAUGUCUGGCAGCACAGGGACUGAGCAACCCACCAUCACCUCCUCACAAGCCCCACCCACGGGGAAGAAGGGUAGGGAGAAAUCCCGAGAUGUCAUUACUGCGUUGGAGGAGAGACUCGCCCAUUUGGAGGGCAUUGUGUCGGAGCAAAGGGAUAGGAGCGACGACCUUGAUAUGCGUCUCACCGAGCUCGAGUCCAAGGGGGACGAGGUUGAGCUGAGGGCUGAGAUGCAAGGGGCUCUCAACAUAGCAGUAGACGUCCUGUCGAAAAAGGAUCAAGCCAUGGAGGCCAUCCUACUUGCCUACCGGGAGAAGGUAGACAAGCUAGAGGAGGAGCUUGCAUUGUGCAAGACAGCGCUGGUCAGCGGGGUUGGAACCAGCGGGGUAGCUCAUAGCGCCAGGGUUGACGCGCCAAGACCAAAGGCCUACAGCGGUGCCCGGAAUGCUCGCGAGAUUGAUAAUUUCUUGUGGAAUGUGGAGAGGUACUUCGAGGCAGUAGGCAUCACCGAGGAUGCCGUAAAGCUCCGCACUGUUCCCCUCUAUCUCGGCGAUGUGGCAACCGUAUGGUGGAGAAGGCGUUGUGAAGACAUCAAGAAAGGGACUUGCACAAUCUCCACUUGGGGAGAGUUCACCAAGGAGCUGAAGAGGCAGUUCUACCCAGAGAAUGCCGAAAGUGAGGCUCGGGCCAAGCUUAGGCGCCUCCAGCACAAGGAGGGUGCUAUCCGGGAGUAUGUGAAAGAGUUUUCCGAACUGAUGCUGGAAAUCCCGGACAUGGGGGAGAAGGACGCCCUAUUCUGUUUCCUUGAUGGCCUCUCGCCUUGGGCUAAAAUGGAGCUUCAACGUAGAGGUGUGCAAGACCUUGCCACCGCAAUGGCAGCUGCUGAAUCCCUUAUCGAAUUCAAGAAGAAGGAGCCCAGCAAGGAUAAGGGAAAGAAACCAGACCGAAGCCACAAAGCCGGAGGUGGAGACAAGUCCAAGCAGGGCAAGGACAACCGGUGGAACAAAGGGGCGAGGGACAAGGCUAAGGAGAAAGAAGGUGAGUCUCCUAGAGCCAAAUUUACUUGCUUCAUCUGUAAUGGGCCUCAUAGAGCAUUUGAGUGUCCCAAAAGGGGCAAGCUUGCUGCCCUGGUUUCUGAGGAAACCGAACCACCAGAGGAGAGGCAUGUUGCCUCAUUACAAUUGCUGAGUGCAAUCAAGGCCAAGGUUAAGGGACAAAACCAAGGCCGAAUGCUGGUAGAAGCUGGUGUCCAAGGAACACCCGUGGUAGCAUUGGUGGACACUGGUGCGGACACCAUUUACAUGUCCACCCAACUUGCGGACGAAAUCAAGCUGCCCUAUGAGAAGGCGCAAGGGUCAGUUAAGGGAGUGACUGCUGAAAGCAUGCUUAUUUCCGGAAUUGCAAGGGACGUAAGCCUGCAGAUUGGGCAAUGGCAAGGCAAGGUUGAUAUCACCAUUGCCCCACUCAAUGAGAAGAAGAUGUAUUUGGGGAUCGAUUUCUUGCGAGAGGUGCAAGCACUACUGGUCCCCUAUGCAGACACCAUGUGCAUUAUGCAACAUGGACAGCCCUACUAUGUGCCAAUAAAAAGGGAGAAUGGCAAGGGCAAUGUUAUUUCGGCCAUGCAAUUGUCUAAGGGGCUGAAGAGGAAUGAGCCAACAUUCCUAGCUGCCUUCAAGGAGGAUGAAGGACAGCAAGGUGGGGGAGCAUCCAUCCCCACUCCGAUCAAGAAGGUGCUCAAGGAAUUCAAGGACAUCAUGCCAUCCGAGCUUCCGAAGAAAUUGCCUCCACGAAGGGAGGUUGAUCACGCGAUCGAGCUGGAAAUCGGGGCAAAACCACCAGCCUUUGCCCCCUACCGCAUGUCUCCACCAGAGCUUGAAGAAUUGAGGAGACAACUGAAGGAGCUACUUGAUGCUGGAUACAUCAGGCCCUCCAAGGCACCUUAUGGAGCACCGGUGCUAUUCCAAAAGAAGCAUGAUGGGUCACUUCGGUUGUGCAUAGACUACCGAGCCUUGAACAAGAUUACCGUCAAGAAUAAGUACCCCAUCCCUCUCAUAGCCGACUUGUUCGACCAGCUGGGCCAAGCCAAGGUGUUUUCGAAGCUGGAUUUGCGCUCGGGGUACUACCAGGUCCGCAUUGCCGAAGGUGACGAAGGGAAGACGGCUUGCGUCACCCGAUAUGGAUCUUACGAGUUUCUAGUCAUGCCUUUCGGCUUGACGAACGCACCGGCAACCUUCUGUACCCUCAUGAACAAGGUACUUGCUCCUUAUCUUGACAAAUUUGUGGUAGUUUACUUAGAUGAUAUUGUCAUCUAUAGUAAUUCCUUGGAGGAGCAUGUGGAACAUUUGAGGAAGGUGUUCAGCACCUUAAGAGCCUAUGAGCUCUAUGUUAAGCAAGAAAAGUGCUCCUUUGCCCAAGAGGAAGUGGCAUUCCUAGGGCAUAUCAUUGGAGGAGGCAAGCUACGGAUGGAUCCUUCCAAGGUGAGGGCUAUCCAAGAAUGGGAGCCGCCCACCAAAAUAACCGAGUUGAGGUCUUUCCUUGGGCUGUGCAACUAUUAUCGGCGGUUUAUACAAGGGUACUCCGCCAUUGCAGCACCCCUCACCGACAUACUGAAAAAGGGCCAAUCGUGGGACUGGUCUACUAAGUGCCAGCGCGCCUUCGAAGACUUGAAGGGUGCAAUUGUGGCAGAAACGGUGCUAAAUCUGCCCGACUAUGGGAAAUCUUUUGAGGUGCAUACGGAUGCAUCCGACUUCGCCAUCGGUGGUGUUCUUAUGCAAGAAAGGCAUCCUAUCGCUUUCGAAAGCCGAAAGCUUAACGACACCGAAAGGCGUUAUACCGUCCAAGAGAAGGAGAUGUCGGCAGUAGUCCAUUGCCUCCGCACUUGGCGCCAUUAUCUCCUUGGCAGCAAGUUCAUUGUCAAAACAGACAAUGUGGCCACUAGCUACUUCCAAACACAGAAGAAGCUUUCUCCCAAGCAGGCUAGAUGGCAAGACUUCUUGGCUGAAUUUGAUUUCAAAAUGGAAUACAAGCCGGGCAAAGCCAAUCUCGUAGCAGAUGCUCUUAGCCGCAAAGGAGAGUUGGCUGACAUUAGCCAACCCACUAGCAAUCUGUUGGAGAGGAUCAAGCAAGGGCUAGAGCAUGACCCUACAGCCAAGAGUUAUGUUUCCUUGGUCAAGGAGGGAAAAACCCGAAGGUUUUGGAUGGAAGACGGACUGCUUCUCAACAAGGGACGCCGAGUUUACGUGCCUCAACAUGGCAACUUGAGACGGGAAAUAUUGAAGGAAUGCCAUGAUAGCCGAUGGGCGGGACAUCCUGGCAUCCAGCGGACAGCAGCCUUGGUGGAAGAUGCCUACUUCUGGCCUCGAAUGAGGGACGACAUCGAGGCCUAUGUGAAAUCUUGCCUUGUUUGCCAACAAGACAAGGUAGAGCACCAGCAUCCUGCAGGGCUAUUGGAGCCGCUGCCCAUUCCGGAGAAGCCUUGGGAAAGUGUUUCCAUGGACUUCAUAGUGGGACUUCCUCAAUCCGAAGGCAGCGGAUGUAUUCUGGUCGUGGUGGACCGAUUUUCCAAGUAUGGAGUCUUUAUUUCGGCACCAAAGGAUUGCACAGCCGAGCAAGCAGCCCAACUUUUUCUCAAGCAUGUGGUCAAGUAUUGGGGGCUGCCCAAGACGAUCAUCAGUGAUCGAGACUCCAAAUUCACGGGACGGUUCUGGACUGAGCUGUUCAAGCUACUGGGGACGGAGUUAAACUUCUCUACAGCAAUGCAUCCCCAAACGGAUGGGCAAACCGAAAGGAUAAAUGCCUUGCUCGAGAUGUAUCUUCGGCACUAUGUAAGUGCCAACCAGCGGGAUUGGGCUAAGCUGCUUGACGUUGCCCAAUUUUCAUACAACUUACUCCGAAGUGAGUCCACUGGCCGAAGCCCGUUCGAGAUUGUCACGGGACAGCAACCGAUUACCCCCAACAAGGUGGCUAUCGGCUACAAAGGAGUGAGUCCAGCAGCCUACAAGUUUGCAAGGAGCUGGGAAGAACAACAAGAGGCAGCCAGAGCUUGUCUCUCCAAGGCAGCCAAGCGCAUGAAGAAGUGGGCUGAUAAGAAGAGGCGCCCACGAGAGUUCCAGGACGGGGACCUAGUGCUGGUGAAACUCUACCAGCAUGGCAAAGGAUCAGCGGGACAGCAUCGAGGACUCUUAAGGAGGUACGAGGGUCCCUUCCCCGUUAUCAAACGGGUUGGUAAGCAAGCCUACAAGGUGGACCUGCCACCAAAUUUAAAGAUGCAUCCGGUCUUUCAUGUCAGCCUGCUCAAGCCAUUCGUGGAAGACCAUGAAGACCCCGAAAGAGCAAUCUCCUCUAGAGCACCAGCAGGGGUUCGCAUUCAAUACUCAAAGGAGGUUGAGGAGAUUGUCUCUGACCGAGUAGUGCAUCAUGGGCACAAAGCACCUACUCGGGAGCUGUUAGUAAAAUGGAAGGGGCUACCCGACAGCGAGGCUAGUUGGGAACCAUUGGACGACCUGUGGCAAUUCAAGGAUAAAAUUGCCGCAUACGAAGAUAGCCGAGCGCCGAGGACGUCGCUAGAUUCGGUGGGGGAGAAUGUUGCCUAUCGAAGGUUCCCCACACAAAUCACCCCAAUUUUUCGCGCCACC
rnacentral:misc_RNA from 1 species